rnacentral:rRNA from 1 species
UACAGAGGGUGCAAGCGUUAAUCGGAGUUACUGGGCGUAAAGGGCGCGUAGGCGGCCGGAUAAGUGAGAUGUGAAAUCCCCGGGCUUAACCUGGGAACUGCAUCUUAUACUGUUUGGCUGGAGUACUGUAGAGGGCAGUGGAAUUUCCGGUGUAGCGGUGAAAUGCGUAGAGAUCGGAAGGAACACCAGUGGCGAAGGCGGCUGCCUGGACAGAUACUGACGCUGAGGCGCGAGAGCGUGGGGAGCAAACAGG